AUUGAACGCUGGCGGCAGGCCUAACACAUGCAAGUCGAGCGGCAGCGGGAAGUAGCUUGCUACUUUGCCGGCGAGCGGCGGACGGGUGAGUAAUGUCUGGGAAACUGCCUGAUGGAGGGGGAUAACUACUGGAAACGGUAGCUAAUACCGCAUAACGUCGCAAGACCAAAGAGGGGGACCUUCGGGCCUCUUGGCAUCAGAUGUGCCCAGACGGGAGUAGCUAGUAGGUGGGGUGACGGCUCACCUAGGCGACGAUCCCUAGCUCGUAUGAGAGGAUGACCAGCCACACUGGAAAUGAGACACGGUCCAGACUCCUACGGGAGGCAGCAGUGGGGAAUAUAGCACAAUGGGCGCAAGCCUGAUGCAGCCAUGCCGCGUGUAUGAAGAAGGCCUUAGGGUUGUAAAGUACUUUCAGCGGGGAGGAAGGUGUUGAGGUUAAUAACCUCAGCAAUUGACGUUACCCGCAGAAGAAGCACCGGCUAACUCCGUGCCAGCCGCCGCAGUAA
rnacentral:rRNA from 1 species